CCUACGGGCGGCUGCAGUGGGGAAUAUUGGGCAAUGGGCGCAAGCCUGACCCAGCAACGCCGCGUGAAGGAAGAAGGCUUUCGGGUUGUAAACUUCUUUCGUCAGGGAAGAGUAGAAGACGGUACCUGACGAAUAAGCCACGGCUAACUACGUGCCAGCAGCCGCGGUAAUACGUAGGUGGCAAGCGUUGUCCGGCUUUACUGGGUGUAAAGGGCGUGUAGCCGGGUUGACAAGUCAGAUGUGAAAUCCUGCGGCUUAACCGCAGAACUGCAUUUGAAACUGGUGAUCUUGAGUACUGGAGAGGCGGAUAGAAUUCCAAGUGUAGCGGUGAAAUGCGUAGAUAUUAGGAGGAACACCAGUGGCGAAGGCGGUCUGCUGGACAGAAACUGACGGUGAGGUGCGAAAGCGUGGGGAGCAAACAGGAUUAGAUACCCGAGUAGUC
rnacentral:rRNA from 1 species